AUGAGUGUUUGUUUUUUUGUAGUUUUUCAGUCAAUUGCAUACCGCUUUUAGCUGUACAAAACUUAAACAGUUUUCGUAAAUGCAUUUCAGAGAAAAGUGAAUUCUGAGAUUUGAAUAAUGCAUCUGACGUGUGUGUGAUGACGUCACGACGCACGUAUUUUGAUUUUUACCAGUCGUUCAAGGCGGACGGAUUCAGUCCCAAGAAGCUAAAGUUUUUCAAAGACAUUUGUAGGGAGGACUUUGCAGCUAAUGGAGCUGAAGUAUUUUAUGUAAGGAGGAUUUUGCAGCCCAUAUAGAUUUCCUUAGGCUGAACCAAAACCUGCCAGACUAAAGUUGAUUUGGGAGAGAAAGCCGUUGUAAACUCAAUCAUCUUGACAUUCUUCAAUGAGUAAUUGUUCAAUUUUUAGGCAAAUACUGUACACUUUGAAUGCUGUGAAUAAAACUAUAUUUUAAAUAUAUUUAAAAUGAAUUGUUUUUGACUGUUUUAAUCAGCUUUUAUUUAUUUGGAAAAAAUUAUUUUGGUUAUGUUACCAGCUAAAGUAAUCUAUUCCCAAAAUAGCACUCUUUAAGUUAACUAAUUAUUAACGCACUUGAAGUAUACUCAUUACUAAUCUAGCUGCAGGUAUGUAAAAGUAUACAAAAUGUAAUGUACUUGGCAUAUUCAUUUUUCACCAGGGCAGUUUUUAGAAUUUUGGAUUGGCCAAAAAUAUAUAGAAUGUACGCAAACAGUCUAUUUAAGAUAUACUGAUUGUAUGUUUGCAAGACACUCAUAAUACAUUUGUAAUGUACUCCUAACAUAAA